GAUGAACGCUGGCGGCGUGCCUAAUACAUGCAAGUCGAGCGAACAGACGAGGAGCUUGCUCCUUCGACGUUUGCGGCGGACGGGCGAGUAACACGUAGGUAACCUACCUAUAAGACUGGGAUCACUUCGGGAAACCGGAGCUAAUACCGGAUAAUAUUUCGAACCGCAUGGUUCGAUGGUGAAAGAUGGCUUUGCUAUCACUUAUAGAUGGACCUGCGCCGUAUUAGCUAGUUGGUAAGGUAACGGCUUACCAAGGCAACGAGACGUAGCCGACCUGAGAGGGUGAUCGGCGACACGAGAGCUGAGACAGGGUCCAGAGGCCUAAGGGAGGCAGCAGUAGGGAAUCGGCCGCAGUGGGCGAAAGCCUGACGGAGCAGCGCGGCGCGAGUGAUGAAGGUCUUCGGAUCGUAAAACUCUGUUAUUAGGGAUGAACAAACGUGUAAGUAACUGUGCACGUCGUGACGGUACCUAAUCAGAAAGCCACGGCUAACUACGUG
rnacentral:rRNA from 1 species